rnacentral:rRNA from 1 species
CCUCAGUAACGGCGAGUGAAGCGGUAACAGCUCAAAUUUGAAAUCUGGGUCUUUCAGGCUCCGAGUUGUAAUUUGUAGAAGAUGCUUUGGGUGCGGCCCCGGUCUAAGUUCCUUGGAACAGGACGUCAUAGAGGGUGAGAAUCCCGUAUGUGAUCGGUGGCUUGCGCCCGUGUAAAGCUCUUUCGACGAGUCGGGUUGUUUGGGAAUGCAGCUCUAAAUGGGUGGUAAAUUUCAUCUAAAGCUAAAUAUUGGCCAGAGACCGAUAGCGCACAAGUAGAGUGAUCGAAAGAUGAAAAGGACUUUGGAAAGAGAGUUAAACAGUACGUGAAAUUGUUGAAAGGGAAGCGCUUGCAACCAGACUUGCGCGGGGUUGAUCAUCCGGGGUUCUCCCCGGUGCACUCGGCCUCGCUCAGGCCAGCAUCGGUUUCGGUGGUUGGAUAAAGGCCUUGGGAAUGUGACUUCUUUCGGGGAGUGUUAUAGCCCUCGGUGCAAUGCAGCCUACCGGGACCGAGGACCGCGCUUCGGCUAGGAUGCUGGCGUAAUGGUUGUAAGCGACCCGUCUUGAAACACGGACCAAGGAGUCUAACAUCUAUGCGAGUGUUUGGGUGUCAAACCCAUACGCGUAAUGAAAGUGAACGGAGGUGAGAACCCUUAAGGGUGCAUCAUCGACCGAUCCUGAUGUCUUCGGAUGGAUUUGAGUAAGAGCAUAGCUGUUGGGACCCGAAAGAUGGUGAACUAUGCCUGAAUAGGGUGAAGCCAGAGGAAACUCUGGUGGAGGCUCGCAGCGGUUCUGACGUGCAAAUCGAUCGUCAAAUUUGGGCAUAGGGGCGAAAGACUA